rnacentral:misc_RNA from 1 species
GAUGAAGAACGUAGCGAAAUGCGAUACGUAAUGUGAAUUGCAGAAUUCAGUGAAUCAUCGAAUCUUUGAACGCAUAUUGCGCUCUUUGGUAUUCCGAAGAGCAUGCUUGUUUGAGUAUCAGUAAACACCUCAAAAGAUUUUCAUUUUUGAAAUGAUUUUGGAUUUGAGCAAUCCCAACACCAGUCUUCACGGAUCGGCGGAGGGUUGCUUGAAAUGCAGGUGCAGCUGGACAUUCUCCUGAGCUAAAAGCAUAUCUAUUUAGUCCCGUCAAACGGAUUAUUACUUUUGCUGCAGCUAACAUAAAGGGAGUUUGACCAUUUUGGCUGACUGAUGCAGGAUUUCACAAGGGUCGGUAAAACGAUUUUUGUAAAACUCGAUCUCAAAUCAAGUAAGACUACCCGCUGAACUUAAGCAUAUCAAUAAGCGGAGGA